UACGUAGGGUGCGAGCGUUAAUCGGAAUUACUGGGCGUAAAGCGUGCGCAGGCGGUUAUUUAAGUCAGGUGUGAAAGCCCUGGGCUUAACCUAGGAAUGGCGCUUGAGACUGGAUAGCUUGGGGUGUGGCAGAGGGAGGUGGAAUUCCACGUGUAGCAGUGAAAUGCGUAGAGAUGUGGAGGAACACCGAUGGCGAAGGCAGCCUCCUGGGCCAGCACUGACGCUCAUGCACGAAAGCGUGGGGAGCAAACAGG
rnacentral:rRNA from 1 species